GCUUUGGUUUUCUAACUUGUAGGUACCAUUCAAAUCGAAUUGGUAAUUGGUUGCUAUGGGCAACUUUGCUGGUGAUGUUUGUCACCAGUGUCAAUACCCCCCCUUAGUGAAUAGGAAGUGUAUCUAGCUUCCACAUAGGAUAACCUGAUGAAUAUGUAUUUGUAAAUUGUGUUUUAUUUUGUAUCCGUCUGACACACAGGAGUAGCUGUUAUGCUGAUACCCACAUAAUAGGGGCAUGAGAGAGCGAUAUACAGGAAGGCUGGCGGUUUUCAAGUAGCAGUGACACCAUUAUGUAAAAGCUAAAAGGUUCAUUUAUGAGCAGUGCCACAGAAAGGAUAUUCCAGCAUCAGCGGGAAGGGUUCCAUGGUGAGCCCCAGAGUUCUGAUCACAUAAAAGGAUCAAACUAGAACAUUUGGGUUUAUCUGAUGCAUCACUUCAACAUAGAAAUGGAUGGAAACAGCACUGAGAUAUUCACCUGUUGUGAGUGCAAUUUUGCAGAAAUAUUUAUUUAUUAAUUAGCACUUUAAAUUGACCUAAGGUGAUCCCCCUCUAUGUUUAUGAGUCUGCAGGUGGGGGGUGUAGGAUGUUUCUUCAUUAGCUGCAAUAAGCUGAACUUCCCUGAGUAACAUAAGGCAUAGGCUUAAGCACAGGGCCACAAGGCUCUAGUCUGCUUGUAAAAUUUUAUUGUGAGCUAGGCAUUUUAACAUUUUUAUUAGCAAAAAAAAAAACCCAUUAAAAUAGGCUUUAUAAAAAGUUUUGCAUUUGUUUACAACACUCAAAUGUCAGAUAUUCCAGCUCAUCAAAAGACAUAACUAGAUAACUAUUAGGUUGAAACACCAGAGAUUCCUACUACACUGAAUUUUAAACAGGCUUUGCUAAAGAUCAGUACUAAUACAAUGUUAGGAUAAGGUGUUUUUACAAACAGUGUUACAUUUCAGGGUGGAGUGGUAACUACUAUAUUUCCAAACACACCCUCUGAUACAUUCAAAUGGCAGAUAAUAAUGGUAAAGCAAACUGCUUGCAAAUGGCCCGGAGCACACAGCGGAACAGGAAGAUCUGCGUUUCAAGGAUGUGUGCACUAUUUAUUUGUGAUUUUGCAGCUGGAAAAACUGUCUGGAUCUGGACUUUAUUAUGUUUUAUGUGUAUAUUGUAAUGGUUCUUAUGCAUUAUUAUAAUUAUAAUUUUUUUGCUAAGUCCAGUGUUGUGCCAAACUGUUUUCUCUGUAUGUUUAUAUGUAUAUGUAUAUGUCUAUACGACCCACAGAUCCCAAGAUUUUUGGGCUGACCCACACAUCACUGAUA